UCCGGAGGGCGCAAUCGUUGUUCGGAAUCAUUGGGCGUAAAGCGCGUGUAGGCGGUCUGGUCAGUCGGGUGUGAAAUACCGGAGCUCAACUCCGGAACUGCAUUCGAUACUGCCAGGCUAGAGUCCCGGAGAGGGUGGUGGAAUUCCCGGUGUAGAGGUGAAAUUCGUAGAUAUCGGGAGGAACACCAGCGGCGAAGGCGGCCACCUGGACGGUGACUGACACUGAGACGCGAAAGCGUGGGGAGCACACGGG
rnacentral:rRNA from 1 species